rnacentral:rRNA from 1 species
CGAUGAUUACUCGCUGCUUGCGAUAAACUGUGAGUGGCCAAGCGAAAGCGUUAAGUAAUCCACCUGGGGAGUACGACCGCAAGGUUGAAACUCAAAGGAAUUGACGGGGGCCCGCACAAGCGGUGGAGCAUGUGGUUUAAUUCGAAGCAACGCGAAGAACCUUACCAAGUCUUGACAUCCCUCUGACCGUUCCUUAACCGGAACUUUCCUUCGGGACAGAGGAGACAGGUGGUGCAUGGUUGUCGUCAGCUCGUGUCGUGAGAUGUUGGGUUAAGUCCCGCAACGAGCGCAACCCUUAUUUUUAGUUGCCAUUUUGGAACUCUAGAAAGACUGCUGGUUAUAAACCGGAGGAAGGCGGGGAUGACGUCAAGUCAGCAUGCCCCUUAAACCCUGGGCUACACACGUGCUACAAUGGAUGAGACAAUGAGAUGCAAGCCUGUGAAGGUUAGCUGACCUAUAAACUCAUUCUAAGUUCGGAUUGUAGGCUGCAACUCGCCUACAUGAAGUUGGAAUCGCUAGUAAUCGUGGAUCAGCAUGCCACGGUGAAUACGUUCCCGGGCCUUGUACACACCGCCCGUCACACCAUGGGAGUUGGUUCUACCCGAAGAUGGUGCGCCAAUCUGGCAGCCAGCCACGGUAGGGUCAGCGACUGGGGUGAAGUCGUAACAAGGUAGCCGUAGGGGAACCUGCGGCUGGAUCACCUCCUU